rnacentral:rRNA from 1 species
GUGCCAGCAGCCGGGUAAUACCGGCAGCCCGAGUGAUGGCCGAUCUUAUUGGGCCUAAAGCGUCCGUAGCUGGCCGGACAAGUUCGUUGGGAAAUUCACGUGCUUAACACGUGGGCGUCCAGCGAAAACUGUCUGGCUUGGGGCCGGAAGACCUGAGGGGUACGUCCGGGGUAGGAGUGAAAUCCCGUAAUCCUGGACGGACCGCCGGUGGCGAAAGCGCCUCAGGAGGACGGACUCGACAGUAAGGGACGAAAGCCAGGGUCUCGAACCGGAUUAGAUACCCGGUAGUCC